rnacentral:lncRNA from 1 species
GGCUAACCUAGCAAAUGAUAUUUUGCCUUAAAAGAAAAUGAAAGCAUACUACAAAUCGUAGAAGUAUAAUGGCUAUUUUUGUAAAAUUUUCGAUCCAGUAAGGUUCAUAGAUGCAUGCCAAGGCUAAAUUUCAUGCCUAAGCGGGCCAAAAAAAAGAAUAUUUUUAUUAUAUAUUUUUGGAUAUAUAUAUAUGAUCUCUUU